AGGCACGCCUGGGGCUCCGUGGCAGGGAAAAACCCUUGGCAAAGCGGCAAACAACGAGCAGAGGGAUGGCUCGCCCGGCUCUCCUCCACCCCGAGGCACCUCCGGCUGCUGAAAUCGCACCACAGCCAAGGUGGAUACGCAUUGAUGGAGGGUUGUUCGCGACGCAGCAAAUUUCCUACCACCGACCCAAGCAGGUAGCCAAAAUUCAGGUAGUUGCAGGUUAUUCAUAGGAGGAGGAAAAAUUCAUGUGGAGCUUGAAGCAGAGAUGCAAUCAGUGUGCGUCCUCCUGAGGACCGAAACGUACCCCACGAGCGCAGCAGGCUGAGAGAGCUGGACCCCACACCUGCAAAGCCUGCAGGAUGGGAGCAACAUCAGCCGCAGUCACCAAGGGACAGGUGCACCUCGCAGGGGGAUGCACGGGUGCCACCCUCAAGGAGGGGUGCAACUCACAGGAGGGUGCACAGAUGUGGCCCUCUUUAUCGGGCUCACCUUCUUCCUCGCCGGCUUCUCUGAGCGCUGUGAAAGAGGAUCUCAAGAAAGACAACGUUUAUAUACGCGAAUUUCACCCUUCCGAGCAAGAGGUGGUGCGCCGCAUUUUUUACGAAGGUAUCAUGGAAAGGAUCCCCAACACGGCGUUUAGAGGGUUAAAGCAGCAGCUUCUCACUCAGCUGCUCUAUGGGCUCCUGGCGGGUGAGUACAGGCUCUUUUUGGGGGGGAGGGGUCGCGUUUUUCCCCGGGAGUUAACAAAAAUGGUAGGGAGGGCGGCGAGCC
rnacentral:lncRNA from 1 species